rnacentral:rRNA from 1 species
AUUGAACGCUGGCGGCAUGCUUUACACAUGCAAGUCGAGCGGCAGCGCGGGCUUCGGCCUGGCGGCGAGUGGCGAACGGGUGAGUAAUGCAUCGGAACGUGCCCAGUAGUGGGGGAUAGCCCGGCGAAAGCCGGAUUAAUACCGCAUACGACCUGAGGGUGAAAGCGGGGGACCGAAAGGCCUCGCGCUAUUGGAGCGGCCGAUGUCGGAUUAGCUAGUUGGUGGGGUAAAGGCUUACCAAGGCGACGAUCCGUAGCUGGUCUGAGAGGACGACCAGCCACACUGGGACUGAGACACGGCCCAGACUCCUACGGGAGGCAGCAGUGGGGAAUUUUGGACAAUGGGGGCAACCCUGAUCCAGCCAUGCCGCGGGCGGGAAGAAGGCCUUCGGGUUGUAAACCGCUUUUGUUCGGGAAGAAAUCCUCUGGGCUAAUACCCCGGGGGGAUGACGGUACCGGAAGAAUAAGCACCGGCUAACUACGUG